rnacentral:rRNA from 1 species
UUAGAGGAAGUAUAGUCGUGACCAGGUUUCCGUAGGUGAACCUGCGGUAGGAUCAUUA